rnacentral:rRNA from 1 species
CCUACGGGGGGCAGCAGUGGGGAAUAUUGCGCAAUGGGCGAAAGCCUGACGCAGCGACGCCGCGUGAGGGAUGAAGGUCUUCGGAUCGUAAACCUCUGUCAGCAGGGAAGAACGGUCACUGUGCUAAUCAGCAGUGAAUUGACGGUACCUGCAAAGGAAGCACCGGCUAACUCCGUGCCAGCAGCCGCGGUAAUACGGAGGGUGCGAGCGUUAAUCGGAAUUACUGGGCGUAAAGCGCUCGUAGGCGGUAUGUCAAGUCAAGGGUGAAAUCCCCGCGCUCAACGUGGGAACUGCCUUUGAAACUGGCAAACUGGAGUGUGUGAGAGGAGAGUGGAAUUCCAGGUGUAGGAGUGAAAUCCGUAGAUAUCUGGAGGAACAUCAGUGGCGAAGGCGACUAUCUGGAACAUAACUGACGUUGAGGCUCGAAAGCGUGGGGAGCGAACAGGAUUAGAUACCCUUGUAGUC